UACGUAGGGAGCAAGCGUUGUUCGGAUUUACUGGGCGUAAAGGGACGGCGUAGGAGCGGCAAUUCAAGUCAGCUGUGAAAUCUCCGGGCUUAACUCGGAACGGUCGAGCUGAUACUGCUUUGCUAGAGUGCGGAAGGGCAAUCGGAAUUCUCGGUGUAGCGGUGAAAUGCGUAGAUAUCGAAGAGGGAACACCUGGAGGUGAAGACGGGUUGCUGGGCCGACACUGACGCUGGACAGCGCGAAAGCCCAGGGGAGCAAACGGG
rnacentral:rRNA from 1 species